CCCAUCUCAGGGUCAUACCUGGAGAGUUUCUAGUACUCUACCAAUCUUGGCUAUGGGAGGGAGAGUCAAGCAGAGACAUACCCAUUCUGUUCCUAGCUUGGGCAGUGGCUAGCAAGUGGAAGGCAAUCUGCUACAAGU